rnacentral:rRNA from 1 species
GUCGCAUGCUCCCGGCCGCCAUGGCGGCCGCGGGAAUUCGAUUAGAGUUUGAUCAUGGCUCAGAUUGAACGCUGGCGGCAGGCCUAACACAUGCAAGUCGAGCGGUAGAGAGGUGCUGCACCUCUUGAGAGCGGCGGACGGGUGAGUAAUGCCUAGGAAUCUGCCUGGUAGUGGGGGAUAACGCUCGGAAACGGACGCUAAUACCGCAUACGUCCUACGGGAGAAAGCAGGGGACCUUCGGGCCUUGCGCUAUCAGAUGAGCCUAGGUCGGAUUAGCUAGUUGGUGGGGUAAUGGCUCACCAAGGCGACGAUCCGUAACUGGUCUGAGAGGAUGAUCAGUCACACUGGAACUGAGACACGGUCCAGACUCCUACGGGAGGCAGCAGUGGGGAAUAUUGGACAAUGGGCGAAAGCCUGAUCCAGCCAUGCCGCGUGUGUGAAGAAGGUCUUCGGAUUGUAAAGCACUUUAAGUUGGGAGGAAGGGCAUUAACCUAAUACGUUAGUGUUUUGACGUUACCGACAGAAUAAGCGCCGGCUAACUCUGUGCCAGCAGCCGCGGUAAUACGAAUCACUAGUGAAUUCGCGGCCGCCUGCAGGUCGACCAUAUGGGAGAGCUCCCAAC